AUUUCUGCUCAUGAUGUGUUAAAUAGCCGCAGUACUCUGACUGUGCAAAGGUAGCAUAAUCAGUUGGCUCCUAAAUAGAGUCUGGAAUGAAUGAAUAUAUGAAGAACAGCUAUCUUAAAAAUAUUUAUAUGAAAUUGGUUGUAGGUGAAAAUCCCUACAUACUUCUAAAAGACGAGAAGACCCUAGAAACUUAUAUAAUUGUUUUGUUGGGGCGACAAAUUUACAUAAAAACUAAUUUUUAAUUAACAUGGCGAUUUCAGAUAGAUAAAGUUACUCUAGGGAUAACAGCAUAAUAUUUUUUGUUUGUGACCUCGAUGUUGGACUAGGUAAAGUAUUCUUUAGAAGAGAAUAUAUAUGCUCUGUUCGAGCACAAGAACCU
rnacentral:rRNA from 1 species